UAGGGAAUCUUCGGCAAUGGACGAAAGUCUGUCCGAGCAACGCCGCGCGAGUGAAGAAGGUUUUCGGAUCGUAAAACUCUGUUGUUAGAGAAGAACAAGGACGUUAGUAACUGAACGUCCCCUGACGGUAUCUAACCAGAAAGCCACGGCUAACUACGUGCCAGCAGCCGCGGUAAUACGUAGGUGGCAAGCGUUGUCCGGAUUUAUUGGGCGUAAAGCGAGCGCAGGCGGUUUCUUAAGUCUGAUGUGAAAGCCCCCGGCUCAACCGGGGAGGGUCAUUGGAAACUGGGAGACUUGGGUGCAGAAGAGGAGAGUGGAAUUCCAUGUGUAGCGGUGAAAUGCGUAGAUAUAUGGGGGAACACCAGUGGAGAAGGCGGCUCUCUGGUCUGUAACUGACGCUGGGGCUCGAGAGCGUGGGGAGCAAACAAG
rnacentral:rRNA from 1 species